rnacentral:rRNA from 1 species
UACGUAGGUGGCAAGCGUUGUCCGGAAUUAUUGGGCGUAAAGCGCGCGCAGGCGGUUUCUUAAGUCUGAUGUGAAAGCCCACGGCUUAACCGUGGAAGGUCAUUGGAAACUGGGAGACUUGAGUGCAGAAGAGAAGAGCGGAAUUCCACGUGUAGCGGUGAAAUGCGUAGAGAUGUGGAGAAACACCAGUGGCGAAGGCGGCUCUUUGGUCUGUAACUGACGCUGAGGCGCGAAAGCGUGGGGAUCAAACAGG